CCUACGGGGGGCAGCAGUGAGGAAUAUUGGUCAAUGGGCGAAAUCCUGAACCAGCCAAGCCGCGUGAGGGACGACGGCCCUAUGGGUUGUAAACCUCUUUUGUCGGGGGACAAAACCCGGCACGUGUCCCUGACUGCGUGUAUCCGAAGAAAAAGCAUCGGCUAACUCCGUGCCAGCAGCCGCGGUAAUACGGAGGAUGCGAGCGUUAUCCGGUUUUAUUGGGUUUAAAGGGUGCGUAGGCGGCCAGUUAAGUCAGCGGUAAAAGUGCGGGGCUCAACCCCGGCGAGCCGUUGAAACUGGCAGACUUGAGAGGGCGAGAGGUACGCGGAAUGCGCGGUGUAGCGGUGAAAUGCAUAGAUAUCGCGCAGAACUCCGAUUGCGAAGGCAGCGUACCGGCGGCAGACUGACGCUGAGGCACGAAAGCGUGGGGAUCGAACAGGAUUAGAUACCCGAGUAGUC
rnacentral:rRNA from 1 species